AGUGAACGCUGGCGGCAGGCCUAACACAUGCAAGUCGAACGGCAGCACAGUAAGAGCUUGCUCUUACGGGCGGCGAGUGGCGGACGGGUGAGGAAUACAUCGGAAUCUACUUUUUCGUGGGGGAUAACGUAGGGAAACUUACGCUAAUACCGCAUACGUCCUACGUGUGAAAGCAGGGGAUCUUCGGACUUUGCGCGAUUGAAUGAGCCGAUGUCGGCUUAGCUAGUUGGCGGGGUAAAGGCCCACCAAGGCGACGAUCCGUAGCUGGUCUGAGAGGGUGGACAGCCACACUGGAACUGAGACACGGCCGAGACUCCUACAGGAGGCAGCGGUGCGGAAUAUUGGACGAUGGGGGCAAGCCUGAUCCAGCAAUACCGCGUGGGUGAAGAAGGCCUUCGGGUUGGAAAGCCCUUUUGUUGGGAGAGAAAAGCAGCAGGUUAAUACCCCGCUGUUCUGACGGUACCCGAAGAAUAAGCACCGGCUAACUUCGUG
rnacentral:rRNA from 1 species